rnacentral:rRNA from 1 species
GGCAGACGGGUGCGUAACGCGUGGGAACCUGCCCUUUAGUAAGGAAUAACUUUAGGAAACUGAAGCUAAUACCUUAUAAUCCCUUCGGGGGAAAGCUUUAUGCGCUAAUGGAUGGGCCCGCGUUAGAUUAGCUUGUUGGUGAGGUAAAGGCUCACCAAGGCUACGAUCUAUAGCUGGUCUGAGAGGAUGAUCAGCCACACUGGGACUGAGACACGGCCCAGACUCCUACGGGAGGCAGCAGUGGGGAAUAUUGGACAAUGGGGGCAACCCUGAUCCAGCGAUGCCGCGUGAGUGAUGAAGGCCCUAGGGUUGUAAAACUCUUUCGCCAGGGAAGUUAAUGACGGUACCUGGUAAAGAAGAUCCGGCUAACUCCGUGCCAGCAGCCGCGGUAAUACGGAGGGAUCUAGCGUUAUUCGGAAUAACUGGGCGUAAAGCGAGCGUAGGCGGAUUUGUAAGUUGGAGGUGAAAUCCCAGGGCUUAACCCUGGAACUGCCUUCAAAACUACAUUUCUUGAGUUUGGUAGAGGAGAGUGGAAUUCCUAGUGUAGAGGUGAAAUUCGUAGUUAUUAGGAGGAACACCAGUGGCGAAGGCGACUCUCUGGGCCAAUACUGACGCUGAGGUUCGAAAGCGUGGGUAGCGAACAGGAUUAGAUACCCUGGUAGU